CUCAGAGUUGCCUCCACUUCCGGCUUCACCAGCAGAGAUAAUCUCCGGGCUUGCAAAGGAAGGAGGGAAGGAGGCGGGAAGCGGGGCUGCAUCCUGCGGAGGCUGAGGAGGGGCUGCUUCCUAAUCAAGCCUCCUAAUUAAGCGCGUCACUCCCUGCCUCCCACGCGGGGGCUCCCAUUCCCGCCCCCGCUGCCCAGGAUGUCGGGUAAUUUCGCCAAUGGCGGGGAAGGAGGGAAGGGGCUUUGCGAGGGGGUCCAGGAUGAGAAGCCCCGGGACGAGGAGAAGAGAAGGGAGGAAAGGGAGCUGUUUUCUUAAACGGGGGGCCUUGAAAGGGGGGGGGAGAAGCUUCCUCCUGCAUGGAUCUAGUACAAAGGGAGUUGCAGGGAAGGAGGCGGGCAAGAGGAGAGGGGUGGACACUGCUGGCCAGGAUCGCCUUAAUAGUAUUAAUUAAAUUUAAUAUUUAUACCCCAGCAGAAGACCCCUCGGAGGAGGACCUUAUCUUUAGGCAACAGGCGAAAGCCUUGCUCUUCUCCCAGGUGUUUGGCUCAUUAAACAAUCUAUGGACUGCACACCUGCAUGGGGGGGGGGUUGUCGUUUUUAUUUCUUACUCUGCUAUGCAUCUCUGUGUUUUUCUCUUGUAAGCUGCCCUGUGAUCUUUGGAGAAAUGGCAGUAUAGAAAUGUGAAGAAUAGCUGUAAAAAUAGGAAGCCCUCUUGCGUUCAAGGGGGGGCGGGUUUGGACAAAGUCUCUGAUCAGCAUGCAUAACAGGAUGGGCUUAGGAGGGAAUGAUAAUAAUGAUAAUGAUAAUAAUAAUAAAUAAUUCAUUACUUGCAGCCUGCCCAUCUGAUUCCGUUGCCUCAGCCACUCUGGGCGGCUUCCAACAAAAACACCAAAAAAAUUAAAACAUGAAAAACUUUCCUGUACAGGGCUGCCAUCAUAAGACUACUGUUUUGUAGAAAUGGCCUUCAAAUAGAAAGAAAUGCCCUCUUUAAGGAGUCCCGUGGUGUAAACGUGUAUGUUGUCCUCUAGGUCCAAACACAUAGUAAGAGCAAGAAGUGCUCCAAAGUGCUUCUGUUGUGAACUUGCCAUCUAACUUGUUUACUCCUGACCAAAGUUCCUGUUUCCCAAAAGGACUGGAGGGGGGCUCCUCACCACUUUUAACCCCCCCCCCACUCCCACCGCAUGGAAGGCAGAGGACGUGUUCAUUCACAAUCCCAGUAAACCAUGUGUGUAUCUGAAGUGAACCAGGCGCUGCAGCUCCUUCCCCUCUCACUGGGCUGCAGAGGAGGAAACGGAUGGGUUUGAAGGCUCUUCCUGCCUCUCUCCCCUGUGCAAAAAGAGCAAAGGGUGUUUGCAGGGCAGGAGGGCAGAGGAGGAGGCAGCGAGGGCAGAGGGAGCAGUGGGCGGAUCUACCGCCUCUCCCAGGGGUCCAGAUGCAAGCAAGGGGCUUCCUUCUUCUCCAUGCAAGGGCCACCCAUGUAUUCAGAGCAGUCCUUUGCAGAUUAACUCUUAAGUUCCAUGGGAUCUACUCUCAGGCCACUAAUGUGCAUACCAUGCCAGCCUUAAGAAGGGAGGUGGGACAGGCAGGUGAAAGGAAUUGCCAAAGGUGUUUGAAAAUGGGCAGGGGCUCCUGGGAAGGGGUCUUUUUGUAUGCAACAACUGCAGUGGGGAUGCUGAUUGCCAGGGAUAGAAAGGAGAUAAAAUUCCAUCAGAAGAGGAGUGGCAAGUAAAAAUCCUUCAAUAUAUAGAAGUAGCAUAGAUGACGGAAAAGAUAAGAAAUCGAUCGACCCAAAAGUUUAAAAGGGAAUGGGAGCUCUAUAGACAAUAUUUAAAAGAACAGUGUCCCCUUAUAAAAACUUUAAAAUGCUUCGAAUAACUCUCGGAAUUGAAUAAGGUACAAAGAAUUCAGACAAGAUUUAACAAAGAUAAAGUUUAUUGAAAAAUAGAGGCACGCAAUUAAGAAAAUUGCCAACCUAGCAGUUCGAAAGCACAUCAAAAGUAGAUAAAUAGGUACCGCUCUGGCAGGAGGGUAAAUGGCGUUUUCAUUCACUGCUCUGGUUCGCCAGAAGCGGCUUAGUCAUGCUGUCCACAUGACCCGGAAGCUGAGUGCAGACAAACGCCGGCUCCUCGGCCAGUAAAGCGAGAUGAGCAUUGCAACCCCAGAAUCAUGCGUGACUGGACCUAAUGGUCAGGGGUACCUUUACCUAAUUAAGAAAAUAAAUAACCUAUAUCAAGGAAGUCGGAAGUUGAUGGCUGGAAUAAUUUUGUGCAUUCGUGAUGUAUUCUAUUUCUUUUUGUAAGAAAUGUAUUGUGCUUUUUUGUUUUGUUUCUUUUCCUAUUUAUAAGCUUUUGUUGUGUGUGUGUGUGUGUGUGUGUGUGUUGAUUUUAAACCAAUAAAGAUUGAAUAAACAAAAUAAAAUAAAUAAAAAAGGAAAGGAGGUGAUGAAAGGAAUUGCCAAAGGUGUUUGAAAAUGGGUGGGGGCUCUUGGGAAGGGGGUGCCCAAUUGGGGCUUCUCCAGGGGCAGCAGAAUGUCUUGGGCAGGAGAAUCCCUGCAGGGGCUCUCAGACUCCCUUGGCUGCUUCUUCUCUCCCUCCCAGGAAGCCUCAACUUGCUCUGGCUUCUGCGCUCUUCAGGAAGCUGAAGCUGCAAACCUAGCUGAGACUGAACCUGCAACCCUGGCCAGGAUGGAAGGAGGAAGAUGGACGGCUGACCUGGUCAGGCUGUCUCCCGCAUCCCUCCCCACAACCUCUGAGCAUUCCCUCCCAGGACCCUUGGAGAAAUCUGGUGAGUUCCAGGGGAGAGGAGAUGGGGACAGGGAUAGAUGGAUGGUGGAGGAAGAAAGAGGAAAAGAUGGAGAGGAGACAAAUGGAAGGAAGUUCCUGACAGGAAGAAGGAAGUUGUGAGGCCUUCUCCAAAGCAGCUCUUUGUUUCUUGAAUCCCUUUCAGAAAGGAGUGGGGGCAGAUUUUCUCCCUCCAGGAUUUUAAAUCUUAGGAGUUACAGUGGUACCUCGGGUCUCAAACUUAAUCAGUUCCAGAAGUCUUCCAAAACCAAAGCGUUCCAAAACCAAGGCGUGCUGUCCCGUAGAAAGUAAUGCAAAAUGGAUUAAUCCGUUCCAGACUUUUAAAAACAACCCCUAAAACAGCAAUUUAACAUGAAUUUUACUAUCUAACAAGACCAUUGAUCCAUAAAAUGAAAGCAAUAAUCAAUGUUCUGUACCAUAAAAUAAAUAAGACAGUAUUGUAGAUGAUAAAAAUUUUAAAAAAAAAUCGUACCUACAUUGAUGAUAGUCAUUGUUUGAAUUGGGACCUUUUAUCCCUUUCCACAGUCAAUCAAUCAAUCAAUCAU